rnacentral:rRNA from 1 species
CCUACGGGGGGCUGCAGUGGGGAAUAUUGGACAAUGGGGGGAACCCUGAUCCAGCCAUGCCGCGUGUGUGAAGAAGGCCCUCGGGUUGUAAAGCACUUUCAGUGAGGAAGAACGCCUGGUGGUUAAUACCCAUCAGGAAAGACAUCACUCACAGAAGAAGCACCGGCUAACUCCGUGCCAGCAGCCGCGGUAAUACGGAGGGUGCGAGCGUUAAUCGGAAUUACUGGGCGUAAAGCGCGCGUAGGUGGCUUGAUAAGCCGGUUGUGAAAGCCCCGGGCUCAACCUGGGAACGGCAUCCGGAACUGUCAAGCUAGAGUGCAGGAGAGGAAGGUAGAAUUCCCGGUGUAGCGGUGAAAUGCGUAGAGAUCGGGAGGAAUACCUGUGGCGAAGGCGGCCUUCUGGACUGACACUGACACUGAGGUGCGAAAGCGUGGGUAGCAAACAGGAUUAGAUACCCUUGUAGUC